UUUCCCUCAGGAUAGCUGGCACUCGCUUGAGCGAGUCUCAUCUGGUAAAGCGAAUGAUUAGAGGCCUUGGGGCCGAAACGACCUCAACCUAUUCUCAAACUUUAAAUGGGUGAGAUCUCUGGCUUGCUUGAACGUUGAAGCCAGAGAUUAAUUUUUGCAAUGGAUCAGAGUGCCAAGUGGGCCAAUUUUGGUAAGCAGAACUGGCGCUGUGGGA
rnacentral:rRNA from 4 species